rnacentral:rRNA from 1 species
UACGUAGGGGGCAAGCGUUGUCCGGAAUCAUUGGGCGUAAAGAGCGUGUAGGCGGCUCGAUAAGUCUGCUGUGAAAGUCCAGGGCUCAACCCUGGAAGGCCGGUGGAAACUGUCGGGCUAGAGUCCGGAAGAGGCGAGUGGAAUUCCCGGUGUAGCGGUGAAAUGCGCAGAUAUCGGGAGGAACACCAAUGGCGAAGGCAGCUCGCUGGGACGGUAC